rnacentral:rRNA from 1 species
AACGAACGUUGGCGGCGUGGAUUAGGCAUGCAAGUCGAACGAAUCCCCGCGGGCUUGCUCGCGGGGGGAAGUGGCGAAAGGGGCAGUAAGGCGUGGGCAACCUGCCCCCGGGACCGGCAUAGCCUCGGGAAACCGAGGGUAAUACCGGGCAACGUAGCGAGGACGCCUGUCCUUGUUACCAGAGGGUCAGCCGCAAGGCUGUCCGCCUGGGGAGGGGCUCACGUGGUAUUAGCUGGUUGGUGAGGUAAUGGCUCACCAAGGCCAAGAUGCCUAGCGG